rnacentral:rRNA from 1 species
CUGUAAGCCGUUGAAGGUGUGCUGUGAGGCAUGCUGGAGGUAUCAGAAGUGCGAAUGCUGACAUAAGUAACGAUAAAGCGGGUGAAAAGCCCGCUCGCCGGAAGACCAAGGGUUCCUGUCCAACGUUAAUCGGGGCAGGGUGAGUCGACCCCUAAGGCGAGGCCGAAAGGCGUAGUCGAUGGGAAACAGGUUAAUAUUCCUGUACUUGGUGUUACUGCGAAGGGGGGACGGAGAAGGCUAUGUCAGCCGGGCGACGGUUGUCCCGGUUUAAGCAUGUAGGCGGAGGUUCCAGGUAAAUCCGGUACCUUUUAACGCUGAGGUGUGAUGACGAGGCACUACGGUGCUGAAGUGAUAAAUGCCCUGCUUCCAGGAAAAGCCUCUAAGCAUCAGGUAACACGAAAUCGUACCCCAAACCGACACAGGUGGUCAGGUAGAGAAUACCAAGGCGCUUGAGAGAACUCGGGUGAAGGAACUAGGCAAAAUGGUGCCGUAACUUCGGGAGAAGGCACGCUGAUGUGUAGGUGAAGCCCCUGCGGGCGGAGCUGAAAUCAGUCGAAGAUACCAGCUGGCUGCAACUGUUUAUUAAAAACACAGCACUGUGCAAACACGAAAGUGGACGUAUACGGUGUGACGCCUGCCCGGUGCCGGAAGGUUAAUUGAUGGGGUUAGCGGCAACGCGAAGCUCUUGAUCGAAGCCCCGGUAAACGGCGGCCGUAACUAUAACGGUCCUAAGGUAGCGAAAUUCCUUGUCGGGUAAGUUCCGACCUGCACGAAUGGCGUAAUGAUGGCCAGGCUGUCUCCACCCGAGACUCAGUGAAAUUGAACUCGCUGUGAAGAUGCAGUGUACCCGCGGCAAGACGGAAAGACCCCGUGAACCUUUACUAUAGCUUGACACUGAACACUGGUCCUUGAUGUGUAGGAUAGGUGGGAGGCUUUGAAGCGUGGACGCCAGUCUGCGUGGAGCCAACCUUGAAAUACCACCCUUUAAUGGCUGGUGUUCUAACGUGGACCCGUUAUCCGGGUUGCGGACAGUGUCUGGUGGGUAGUUUGACUGGGGCGGUCUCCUCCCAAAGAGUAACGGAGGAGCACGAAGGUUGGCUAAUCCUGGUCGGACAUCAGGAGGUUAGUGCAAUGGCAUAAGCCAGCUUGACUGCGAGCGUGACGGCGCGAGCAGGUGCGAAAGCAGGUCAUAGUGAUCCGGUGGUUCUGAAUGGAAGGGCCAUCGCUCAACGGAUAAAAGGUACUCCGGGGAUAACAGGCUGAUACCGCCCAAGAGUUCAUAUCGACGGCGGUGUUUGGCACCUCGAUGUCGGCUCAUCACAUCCUGGGGCUGAAGUAGGUCCCAAGGGUAUGGCUGUUCGCCAUUUAAAGUGGUACGCGAGCUGGGUUUAGAACGUCGUGAGACAGUUCGGUCCCUAUCUGCCGUGGGCGCUGGAGAAUUGAGGGGGGCUGCUCCUAGUACGAGAGGACCGGAGUGGACGCAUCACUGGUGUUCGGGUUGUCAUGCCAAUGGCACUGCCCGGUAGCUAAAUGCGGAAGAGAUAAGUGCUGAAAGCAUCUAAGCACGAAACUUGCCCCGAGAUGAGUUCUCCCUGAGACUUUAAGUCUCCUGAAGGAACGUUGAAGACGACGACGUUGAUAGGUCGGGUGUGUAAGCGCAGCGAUGCGUUGAGCUAACCGAUACUAAUGAACCGUGAGGCUUAACCUU